rnacentral:lncRNA from 1 species
UUUGGCAAAUGAAUUGCAUGCAUUUUUGCAUGUAAUUAGGUUAUAAAUAGAGGUGUUUUCAAAUGUUGAAGAACUUUUGCCUCUUUUAUCAUUUUCAUCAUCUCAACAAAAGAAAAAAGAAACCUUCCAAUACCAUUUUAUCUCCAUUACUUUCUACACCAAAAUUGGGUCCCACAACCCGGUUCUUUGUCUAGAGGAUAGCAGUUGAGUACUAGUGGUGGUCUCGGUUAGAAUUGGUAAGAAGAUAUCAAACCUUUUGAAAGCUUCAAAGGUAAUAUUUCUUAAAACCCUAAUUUGAUUAGUUUAUGAUUAUAUGUUAAUUGUGGCAAUUAGGGUAGAAGUUCGAUUCUUUUUCCGCUGUGCAUGACUUAGUUCUAUCAGUUUCUUCGACAAACUAAUCUUUUUUCAGUUUGUGUGUAGUUUAUGGUCUAUUCGUGAUAUUUUUUGUCGCUAAUACAUUUGGAAGAUGUUUAGAUGGUUUUCAUUCUAAUAUAUAUAUAAACUCUAAUACAACAUUAUCAUUUCAGGUUUAAGAAAAAAAAAUGAAAACAAUGGAAAUAGCAAAAAUUGAAAACAAUGGAGAUAACAAAGGAUGUUAAAAAUGUUAGGCCAAAGAGACAACUUAACCGAUCAAAUAAAAUGUUAGAGAAUAUAAAAGACUAGAAUAUUCUAAGAGACCGUUUGAUUUGUACCUAGUUUUGAUUUGCGACUAUCUCAUUGAGUAAAUGGUUGUUGUAGUAUUAGUUUUGCAGAUAUUUCAUGAUAAAAAAUAUCAAUGAUAGACUUCAUAUUUUAUUUGAUUUUGUUCAAUUGAUAUAGUAAAGUGUUGGACCACAUGUUAAAUAUUGCAAAUUGACUGAUCUAGAAGUUUAUUAAUGACAGACUAUAAUUGCGAAAAAGACUUCGUAGUGACGUUAACUCUUCAUAUUUAGUUGAUUUUACCAUAUUAAUAUAGAAAAAUGUUGGAUCACAAGUUGAAUAAUGAUUACAAGUUAUGUGCUUUUGUGUUCCAAUUAAGAAAUUAGUAUUAUACAUAUUGAAUCAUUGCAAAUUAGUAUUAAUUGGUGCACUUAAUUGAGAAAUUACUUUUGUUCAUAUACAUGUUGAAGUCUAUCAUUGAUAGAAGCUAUCAACGAUAAACUUUAUAGCAAAGUUUAUAAUUGAUAGAAACUAUCAACUAUAAGUUAAA